ensembl:lncRNA
UACCUAUUGAAAAUACCUACUUUGCAAUGUACUUUUUUUUUUUUUUUUGCAAUGUACUUUUAACAGUCAUCAGAGUUUCUAAAUUUUCAUUGAAGGGAGGUACCUAAUAGAAGAAUCUAGACUUAGAAAUGUGAACUGUGGUUAAACCCUAGACCCAGUUAUACAGUGGUAGUCUAAAGCUUCUAAAACUGGAGUGUUCAGAAGAUCCAGAGAUGUUCAUAGUGUGUAGUUUCAGUAAUCAGAAUAUUAGACCAGAGUUUAUUUGCAAUUCAUUCAACAGAGAGAUUUUAUUUUGAUACAAAUAUUAAGCAUAAAGCAUUAUAAGUUUUAUAUAAUUCUAUGAGUUCAUUGAACAAUUGAUGAAAUUUUCAUUUUGUUCCUGGGGAGCCUUUUUAGCUAUUUCUACCUCAUAUAUGAGGUCUCUUCUGUAUUUUAUUUCUCAUACUAGCAUGUGAUUGCCUGCCUUAGAACUAUGUAUAGGAGGGAAAAAUCAGUAUUACCUUUUAAGAAAUUUUUGAUUUUGAAAUAAUUUUCAUGAAUACUUUCUAAACGUUUGUGAGAAGUAAAGGGGAAAGAAUGGAAACUUACGUCGGUUUCAACAUGGUAGUAUCUACAUACAAACCUGUCAUGUUUUAAGAUUUUAGAAUAGUGACAGCGUAAAGGAAAAAAAGAAAAGAAAGGAAAGAGGAAAAAGGUAGUAUUCAAACUUCAGCCAGCAUCAGACGUAACCUGGAGGUUUUCUUGAAGUAUAGAUUGCUGGACCCCACCCCAGGUUCUGGAUUCUAGGCUGAAAUCUGACCACUGGCAUUUGCAACAAGUUCCCCACAGUGCUGGUGCUGGUUGGUCCAGGGAUUGCACUUUGAAAAUCACAUGUCUCCAGUAAGUUUGAAGGUGUUUCCAGUGGUGCAUUUAUUUACUUGGUAUAAAAAGCUGAUCUCUUAAAUCAUUUUUAGAAUUCUGAUAACCUGAGUGGCAUAUUCCUGGAGAAAGAUCUCUAAGCCUUUGGAUUGACUGCCACCUCCAUUUUUCCUCCCCUGGUGGGGGUCUGUGCUGCUCUUUGUCAUUAGGGUGAAAGAGCCCUUUCAUUUCUAGGGUGAGAUUGGUUUUGUGUACGCUGCUGCUUGGGCUUUGGUCUGGAAGCUGUGCGUUUGUUUGAUGUGCUUAGAGUCAAUCUUGAUGAUCCCUACACAUGGAGAAUUGUGGAAAGAAGCCAUCUGAAGGUCACGAGAAUGCACUUUGCAUUUAUCGAGGCACUAAGUACAGGAGUCCCUGUCCUAAGAUAGCAGUGACAUGGAGCAUUGAAAAUGAUAGGUAAUACCCAAACAACAUGUAGUUUUUAUGGGGGGGGGGGGGGGGGGGGUUGGGAGGGUGACGGAUUUGCUUUUCAGAUUGUGUGUUUCUCAGGUUAACAAAGUUAUUUUGGAUUUCUGCCAUGCCAGCAGGUGUCAGGGAGAGCCUGAGAUGCUGUAUGUGACAGAAAAUGAGUAAUUGUUUUUGAUUCCUUUGCUACCUUUAAAAAGAAAUCUGUAUAUGUUUGCAAAACAGUCUAGGGCAAUCUACCACCUACACAGCAUGAGUUAUUCAUAAAUCAUAGGUGCACAUGUAUGAGCAAGUUAUUUUUGAGAAAGAAAUUGCCUAUCACAAUCUUGACAGGUCUUUGGAUAUUUUUACAUUUGUGUGUUGUUGCUGUUGUUGUUGUUUUAAUAUUCACCCUGGACUGUACCUUGGGGAUUAUUGGGGCUCUGCUUCUGGUUUUUAGUUUGCCUUUGAAUUUACUGAAAUGCUAGCAAGAAUAAAACCUAAUUUUAAGGUGAUAGACUAUAGAACGAUUUAGGUGUAGAAGUAUACAUGAUGACCAUCAUAGAAUGCACGGCUUUAGAAUUCUUAAUUCUUCCUGCUUAAAAAGCUUGAUGAUCUUUUGUGAGGAUUGUUCAUAUGUUCAGCUCAGGUUCCUUGAUGCAGUCCCAACUUAUAGGGAACUUUGGUUUAUUUACACUUUGCUUUGCAUGACACUGUGUAUGUGGAGACCUCUUUAUAUCUUUUGGUAGGUCAGAGGUCUCUUUUGUCCAAGUUAAAGUCCCAAAGUGUCAGUUACACUUGAGAUUUUAUAUAUCCAGACCACACAUGAUCCUAUAAAUCUGUGUAUAUGACAUUAUGUACAUUACGUACUGUAUCUGAUUUCUGUGCCAGUCAGCUGACCUGAUUCUUUGAAACCCAUGAAGGUACUGGUUAUAUGUAGUAUGUAUCCUGGGUAAAUAUGGUGAUUAAAAUACUUCUCUAAAUUAUAAAAGUAAUGGGUUUUGCAUUUUUAUUAAAGGGUCCUGUUAUUAAUGACAGGAUUUUUUUUAAUGCUUCAAAAAUAUAGUUCUUAUCUAAACUUGUUCAGCUAACUUCAUAGGAUCAGUUGCUUAGUAAAUUCAUAUUGGUUCUUAUUUUGGAAAGCCUUUCUAAGGGAGGCUAUAUAAAACAGCUGGUAAGUUUCCAUCUCUUCAAGGGACCAGUUGUGUGGCCAUCUAAGCAUAUUUAUGGCAAAAUUAUUAUUUUUCUUUGCAGUAAAUGAUACCUCAUCUAAGAGGCUCUAAUACCUAAAGAGUUUAUUCUUAAAGUAAAAAUGACUUUGUAUAAUAAUAUAACCCCAAAGCUACUCUCUAGGGUUUUUUUCUUUCUCUGUCUUUGUCUUUUCUUUUAUAGUUUAAUUUCUGGAAUUACUUUAGCUACUUUGGUUCCUUAUAACAGGUUUUCAUCUUGGGGUCUACAGUUCUACGGUGUGAUCAUUGUCUCAGUGAAGUUCUUUUAUUUUAAAAGAUUCAUGGUAACACAAAAUGUAUUUUACUGCUAC